rnacentral:rRNA from 1 species
CCAGCAGCCGCGGUAAUACGUAGGUGCCGAGCGUUAUUCGGAAUUAUUGGGCCUAGAGGGUUCUUAGGGGGUAAUGUAAGUCCGGUGUGAAAUCUCGAGGCUCAACCUCGAAACUGCAUUGGAAACUGCAUUACUUGAGUGUCAGAGAGGAAAGCGGAAUUCCUGGUGUACCGGUGGAAUGCGUAGAUAUCAGGAAGAACACCGACGGCGAAGGCAGCUUUCUGGCUGGCAACUGACCCUGAUGAACGAAAGCUAGGGUAGCGAACAGGAUUAGAUACCCUGGUAGUCCUAGCUGUAAACGUUGUGCACUGGAUGUGGGCGGAUUUGGUCCCGUCUGUGUCUGAGCGAAGGCGUUAAGUGCACCGCCUGGGGACUACGGCCGCAAGGCUAAAACUCAAAGGAAUUGACGGGGGCCCGCACAAGCGGUGGAGCAUGUGGCUCAAUUCGAGGCAACGCGAAGAACCUUACCUGGGUUUGACAUAUACCUGACCGCCGGUGAGAGCCGGUUUCUCUUUGAGCAGGUAUACAGGUGCUGCAUGGCUGUCGACAGCUCGUGCUGUGAAGUGUUCGGUUAAGUCCGGCAACGAGCGCAACCCACGCUGUUAGUUACCAUCAGGUAAUGCUGGGGACUCUAACAGGACUGCCCGUGCUAAGCGGGAGGAAGGCGUGGACGACGUCAAGUCCGCAUGGCCCUUACGCCCAGGGCUGCACACGUGCUACAAUGGCCGGUACAGAGGGUCGCCACUCUGCGAAGAGGAGCUAACCCCGAAAACCGGCCUCAGUUCGGAUUGGAGUCUGCAACCCGACUCCAUGAAGUAGGAAUCGCUAGUAAAGGCGUAUCAGCAACGGCGCCUUGAAUCUGUUCCCGGGCCUUGUACACACCGCCCGUCACAUCAUGGAAGCCGGCUGCACCCGAAGUCGCUAUCCGUUUUACGGAGGCGCCGAAGGUGUGGCUGGUAACUGGGAUGAAGUCGUNANAAGUAACACAGGG